rnacentral:rRNA from 1 species
AAUGUUGCGUUAAGGGAAAGGUCGUUUCAAAGCUCUGUACAACAUAGCCCAAGUUUGGCUUGAAUUUCCACUGUAUCUUAACGGAUAUACCGACUCCACAGAGGGUGUCAGACCCGUGUGGCUAUGUGGUAAAAUGUACGCGAGUUCGGCUUUAUUCCCUGAGAGUCGCGUUGCUUGAGAUUGCAGCGCUAAGCAGGACGUAAACUCGUCCUAAGGCUAAAUAUAUUCACAGAACCGAUAGUAAACAAGUACCGUGAGGGAAAGUUGAAAAGCACUCUGAAGAGAGAGUCAAAAGACCGUGAAACCGCUUAGAGUACAGGCCAAUGGUAUACUGGAAGGCUUGGAGCCAGCGCCUGCGGGAUUCCCCGAUUGUGGGAUUGAUCUCUAUAGUGCUAUCGUGUAUGGAUAAGAUCAAGGAGGCAUGCUGGGGAAUCGAAUCGAAAAGUGGCAUUGAGUUGAUAACACACCGUCACACACCUCACGGGCUACUGACAGUGGUAACAGGUGAUGUUCUAAUGAGGAACUGACCCGAGGCUGGGCUUGAGUGAGCAGUGGCUUUGAGUCAUACAAACGAGUGGCUUUCAAUACAGCCAUACCGCAAUCCUUUGUAAGGUCUCCCUUAUGAGGUGUCAGUUGCUAUAAAGAGUCGUGUCGCGUCAAUUGCUCGAGUGUUGUGUGUCAAUGCGRACAUGCAGCUCUUUCUCCCGCUACCADWAGAGAGAAGGGUAAUCACUCGGGCCGGCCGACUCUUGCGCUGAUUCACCGUGCCCAGACAUAAGUGGAAUGAUCCUUGGCGAAGAUUGUUUCUGACCUGCUGAUGCCCAAUAGGUCAGCCUCUCCAAGGUGCCAAAUCAAAAAGCAGCGGAAGCCUGGGUCUCUCGGCUAUAUAGGUUUAUGUUGUCACCUGCGCGGGAUGCGAGUGAUAUUGGAGAUUGGUUCUUUAUGUUCCUUCCCCCGGUGUGUGCUCGUCCGUGUGGGCCAAAUCUGACUGCUGAGUUGACUCAGAAUGUACUCUGUGGGUUCAGGCUGUUCGGUAUCUUAUUCCAGUGCCAUCGGUCACGUCUCGAAACACGGGCCAAGGAGCAUAGCAUGUGCGCAAGUCUAAGGGAUAAGAAAUCCUGGAGGCGAAGCGAGAGCGAUGGUGUGUCUGUAGUUUGUCUUUAUUGACAUCUGCUUACAGCUUACGAAGAGCGUAAUUCCCGAUGAUGCACUUCGGUGUGUCGCGGAUGACUGCGUUGCGUGGCUUAAACUGAGUUGAUCCCAAUCGUAAUCAAGCCUUCAAGGCGAUACGAGGGCGCAAACUCCGGGCUCUCUUAUACAAGGGCGUGUGCUUGCAUGUGCCCUGAAGAGAGCACUGUGGAGCGUUCRBGCUAYAACCCGAA